rnacentral:misc_RNA from 1 species
GAUGAGAACGUAGCGAAAUGCGAUACUUGGUGUGAAUUGCAGAAUCCCGUGAACCAUCGAGUCUUUGAACGCAAGUUGCGCCCGAAGCCAUUAGGCCGAGGGCACGCCUGCCUGGGCGUCACACGUCGUUGCCCCCCCAUCUACUCCUUCGGGAUUGCGGGGGGCGGAUGAUGGCCUCCCGUGCGCCUCGUCGCGCGGUUGGCAUAAAUGCCAAGUCCUCGGCGACGCACGCCACGACAAUCGGUGGUUGCGAAACCUCGGUUGCCCGUCGUGUGCGGUCGUCGCGCAUCGAGGGCUCGAAAAAAUUGCCGGGCUCCGGCUCGGCUUUCAACGCGACCCCAGGUCAGGCGGGGCUACCCGCUGAGUUUAAGCAUAUCAAUAAGCGGAGGA